GAUGAACGCUGACAGAAUGCUUAACACAUGCAAGUCGAUUCGAUUUACCUUCGGGUAUUGAGGAUGGCGGACGGGUGAGUAACGCGUAAGGAACUUGCCUCUUGGUCUGGGACAACUGUUGGAAACGACAGCUAAUACCGGAUAUUAUGAGAUUCUCGCAUGGGGAAUUUAUGAAAGCUAUAUGCGCCAAGAGAGAGCCUUGCGUUCCAUUAGCUAGUUGGUGGGGUAACGGCCCACCAAGGCGACGAUGGAUAGCCGGCCUGAGAGGGUGAACGGCCACAAGGGGACUGAGACACGGCCCUUACUCCUACGGGAGGCAGCAGUGGGGAAUAUUGGANNAUGGGNNNNAAGCCUGAUCCAGCAAUUCUGUGUGCACGAUGAAGGUCUUCGGAUUGUAAAGUGCUUUCAGUUGGGAAGAAGAAAGUGACGGUACCAACAGAAGAAGCGACGGCUAAAUACGUGCCAGCAGCCGCGGUAAUACGUAUGUCGCAAGCGUUAUCCGGAUUUAUUGGGCGUAAAGCGCGUCUAGGCGGAAAAAUAAGUCUGAUGUUAAAAUGCGGGGCUCAACUCCGUAUUGCGUUGGAAACUGUUUUUCUAGAGUACUGGAGAGGUGGGCGGAACUACAAGUGUAGAGGUGAAAUUCGUAGAUAUUUGUAGGAAUGCCNAUGGAGAAGUCAGCUCACUGGACAGAUACUGA
rnacentral:rRNA from 1 species